CGAAUCUUGCCGAUGAUAUUUUGAUGUUGUCUGGAAGGUACCAAUAUAUCUCAGGAUGAAGAAGGGCUUGUUGCGUAGGCUUAAAGGAGGCAUCCUGUGGUUAUCAGUAAUGUUGUUCCCAUUUCUCCAAAUCCAAUGGUGCUCAGGGUGAUGAAAGUGAAGUAAAAGCCUUCUCCAUAGCUCCAGCCUUCUACAUAACUGAAGACUAAUGGCGGGAACACUAGAAAAAGCAAAGUCCCAGUGGACAAGAAGAUGGCCACUGCCAGUGUUUGAACCACCUGAAAGAUAAAGCGAAGAUGGCAGCUAAGCAGCAUGGAGCAGUUGUCUUGUUGAAA